AGGGCAGUUCUCCAGGGCAGCUGGGGGAGCUCUCCAUGCAACUCCCGACCCGGCAAAGAUGAGACGGAUGUAGGCUACCGCUGUAUCCUCGGGGCAGGUGCUCUCGAACAAAAAAAGUUAGAUGGAUUAAAUUCAAUGGUUGGUGAAAAAUAAAAGUUAAGUGAGUGGU